UAUCCCGUAGGGCCUCUGUCUGAGGUAUGCUCAAGUGAAUGGCUCACGAGGACACCCCUGCCUUUUUGAGGCGGAUAGGAUAGUUCUCGGAGGCAUCCCGAGGGCCUCUUCCAGAGGUACGCUCGCCAUACCCAGGACUGUGCCAGCGGAAUGAUUAAUAAAUCUCUGUGAUGUACAACCGAAUCUGUCUGACCAAAGAACAAUAAGAAAACGUUAAAACUUUCAGC
rnacentral:misc_RNA from 1 species